rnacentral:rRNA from 1 species
UACGUAGGGUGCAAGCGUUGUCCGGAAUUAUUGGACGUAAAGAGCUCGUAGGCGGUCUGUCGCGUCGGCUGUGAAAACCCGGGGCUCAACCCCGGGCCUGCAGUCGAUACGGGCAGACUAGAGUGCGGUAGGGGAGACUGGAAUUCCUGGUGUAGCGGUGAAAUGCGCAGAUAUCAGGAGGAACACCGGUGGCGAAGGCGGGUCUCUGGGCCGUAACUGACGCUGAGGAGCGAAAGCGUGGGGAGCGAACAGG